rnacentral:misc_RNA from 1 species
AAGUCGUAACAAGGUUUCCGUAGGUGAACCUGCGGAAGGAUCAUUCAUAAUAAAAGUGUUUUAUGGCACUUUUCAAACAAUCCAUAUCCACCUUGUGUGCAAUGUUUUUUAGAAAGGGGGUUCGUCUCCUUUCUUUAUAACUUAUCAACUCUUUAUUUUUAAUUGUCAAUUUGUCUGAAAUAAAAAUUAUUAUUAUGAAUAACUUAAUUCAAAAUAUAACUUUCAACAACGGAUCUCUUGGCUCUC